AUUUUGCAAGAGACCGAAGACCUAUUAUUGGAUUUUGCUAUUGUAAGGGAGACAGCUCCUAUUCACACUAAGCAACGAAGAGCUCGCAAGAUUAGAAAGACAAACCCUUCAACAACCGCGGCCUACUAACAUCAGAAUGGAUGAUCACGGAGGCCAUGACGAUCUUACUGCUGCAAUGGCGCUCAUGCAACAACAGAUGCAUCAGACCAUCAACACACAGGAAGCUUCUCGCCAAGCAGCGGCUGAACUUGCUGCACAGCAAGUAGGCUACCACUCGCUCCGCCAUCAA
rnacentral:lncRNA from 1 species